rnacentral:misc_RNA from 1 species
UCCGGUUUGUCACCGGCAGUCUCGCAUGAGUCCCCAACUAAAUGCUGGCAACAUGCGACGGGGGUUGCGCUCGUUGCGGGACUUAACCCAACAUCUCACGACACGAGCUGACGACAGCCAUGCACCACCUGUGAAGGUCCAGCCGAACUGACCCCGUGUUUCCACGGGUAUGACCUACAUGUCAAGCCCAGGUAAGGUGGGGAUGACGUAGUACACCUGAAC